GGAGGCUGAGGAGGAGGAUGGCUUAAACCCAGGAGAUGGAGGCUGCAAUGAGCUGAGAUCAUGCCACUGCACUCCAGCCUGGGCUACAGAGUCAGACUUUGGCUCAAAAACGACUAUAUAUAUAUAAAUGACUAUAUAUAUAUGUGUGUGUAAAAGUAAAAGUAAAAUAAAAUAAACCCAACUGUACCCCAGUCCUUCUUCAGAAGCUCCCUCUGGGUCUGAUGUGGGGUUUUCCUGCUGGUCAUUUCUCAUCUUGAUAAACCCAGAACUCUCAGUGACUACUCUGUUGAUGGACAAUCAUUGUCUCUCAUAUUUUGUCUCUCUCUCUCUCUCAAUCUUGGUUUUAAAAAAUACGUAUUUAUUGGAGAAAAUUUGAAACAUCAAGAUGCACAAAACAAAACAUAAGAAUCACAGAUGAGCUGUCUUCGUGAGACAAUUGCUGUUAACAAUUGGCAUGUCUUUCUAAUCUUUCAUCUAUGAUCAAAUGGACUAUUUAGCACAAUUGGGACCAUCCAUUAUGCACUUUUGGUUUGAAAGUUUUAGCACACUAGGGCUGGAGACAGGAUCUUUGGAGUCAUCCAGAAAGCUCCAAGUGUGAAACUAUUCCAGUUCUGAACAUAGGUGUGGACUUACAGGAUGAACGACGUCAGCAUAAAAAUGUAAGAUAUUCUCAUGUGAAAGAGAACCUAAGAAAUCUGCUCAGGGCCCUAACUGAGUAAUUUAAUCAUCAGAUCUGUUGAUUUCUUUCUACAACUGCCCACAGAUUGGAAUGCCAUUUUUUGUCAUUUAUUUAUUUAUGCAUUUAUCUAUUCAUUCAUUUAUUUAUUAAAUGGAGUUUAUUUUUCAGAGCAAGCUUAGGUUUACAGCAAAGUUGAACAUAAAGUACAGAGUUCUCAUAUACUUCCUCCCCCAUCAUUAACAUCUGGCACCUCAGUGAUAAAUUUGUAACAGUCCUUAGUCUCAUGAACCAACAAUGAUACAUCAUUAUCAAUAAAAGCCCACAGUUUACAUUAGUGUUGUGCUUUCUAUGAGUUUCGACAAAUACAUAAUGACAUGUGCUAUGG